UUACGACAUCACGGCCCUUCCUCCUCCCUGGGCCCUGAUAAAAGCGGCGGCGUCUCUCCUCCUCCCUGACGUCGCCGCGCAGAUACCGGAAUUUGGGGUUCUUCCUCCUCCCUUGGACCCCAAAGACCA
rnacentral:ncRNA from 18 species